GACGAACGCUGGCGGCGUGCUUAACACAUGCAAGUCGAACGGAAAGGCCUCUUUCGGGGGGUACUCGAGUGGCGAACGGGUGAGUAACACGUGAGUAACCUGCCCUUGACUUUGGGAUAACUUCAGGGAACUGGGGCUAAUACCGGAUAGGAGCUCCUGCUGCAUGGUGGGGGUUGGAAAGUUUCGGCGGUUGGGGAUGGACUCGCGGCUUAUCAGCUUGUUGGUGGGGUAGUGGCUUACCAAGGCUUUGACGGGUAGCCGGCCUGAGAGGGUGACCGGCCACAUUGGGACUUAGAGACGGCCCCGACUCCUACGGGAGGCAGCAGUGGGGAAUAUUGCACAAUGGGUGGAAGCCUGAUGCAGCAACGCCGCGUGCGGGAUGACGGCCUUCGGGUUGUAAACCGCUUUCGCUCAUGACGAAGCUUUGUGUGACGGUAGUGGGUAAAGAAGCACCGGCUAACUACGUG
rnacentral:rRNA from 1 species